AUUGAACGCUGGCGGCAGGCCUAACACAUGCAAGUCGAGCGGAUGAAGGGAGCUUGCUCCUGGAUUCAGCGGCGGACGGGUGAGCAAUGCCUAGGAAUCUGCCUGGUAGUGGGGGAUAACGUCCGGAAACGGGCGCUAAUACCGCAUACGUCCUGAGGGAGAAAGUGGGGGAUCUUCGGACCUCACGCUAUCAGAUGAGCCUAGGUCGGAUUAGCUAGUUGGUGGGGUAAAGGCCUACCAAGGCGACGAUCCGUAACUGGUCUGAGAGGAUGAUCAGUCACACUGGAACUGAGACACGGUCCAGACUCCUACGGGAGGCAGCAGUGGGGAAUAUUGGACAGUGGGCGAAAGCCUGAUCCAGCCAUGCCGCGUGUGUGAAGAAGGUCUUCGGAUUGUAAAGCACUUUAAGUUGGGAGGAAGGGCAGUAAGUUAAUACCUUGCUGUUUUGACGUUACCAACAGAAUAAGCACCGGCUAACUUCGUG
rnacentral:rRNA from 1 species